GGGGAGGUUCCCGAGUGGUCAAAGGGGACAGACUGUAAAUCUGUUGCCAGGCGGCUUCAUAGGUUCAAAUCCUAUCCUCCCCA
rnacentral:tRNA from 1 species